AUUUGGAAAAUGAUGAAAUAUUGACAUUUGGGCCUAGAGUGGUGAUUAGCAGAAGAGGGGGUGUUGACUAAGCAAGCCCAUUAUAAUAUUUAUUUUAUUUUUCGUAAAAUAAGGAAUUUGGGGAAAAGAGGAAGCAGAAGCAGGAACUGAGUCUGAAGAAAGGAGAACACGUGAAAGUGAGAAGAGCCAAAGGGGAAGAGAACCUUCGAAGUUCGACUCUGAGAUUAAGGAUGUAGCGGCGUCUUGAUUGGGUGAAGAUAGCUUAUAGGCUAGCCCUUAGUUCGUGUCGAGUCAUGCUCUGAUUGUAACACUGGGGAACGCUAGUUUAGAGACGAAUUAUUAUGUCGGUCUUGUUGUUUUAUGAUUGUUUUAGAAUAACUUGCAUGGAUAAUGAAUAUGCAAUGUUAUGGAUUAUUGUCCGCUGUGUUGAACAUGAAUUGUAAUUAUGUUAAAUGGUUCCUCGUGUAGCAUGACAAAUGACUAUGGUAUUUUAUGUUUAAGAAGUUGUGACAUCCUUGUAUUUCAUGUUUACUCUGAAUAUUAUUCUUUUUUUUUCCGUGGGGGUUUAGAAGGGUGUUACAAUAGUGGUAUCAGAGCAUAGUCGGUCCUUGUGACCAGAGUCUUGUUGUUAAUUCCUGUCGGUAUGCGACAUGUGUGAGAAACACUGUCGGUACCCAGUGUGUUCUAACGGUUUGCUUGCAGAAGUGGGAUUGAAAGUAGUGGGGGAGAAGUCAUGCUUCUCGGAUAUGUCUCAGAUGCAAGAUGUUAGAGAGAUGCGUGGGGCAGUAGUACAAGAGUGUGGAGUUAUUGUUUUCUGAAGCGAAGGUGACAUGGACUGAAGACCGUGGUUGUUGUUCAGUCGGAGUGUCUCGGAGUAGAUGAUGGUUAUUUCUGAGAAAUGGAAUUUGGAAGUUGUGAUGCCUCAAGUGCUACUGACGUACUGCGAUGUUGUUGUAUGAGUAGCCCUAUGUAAAAGGUUGUUGUUGAAGCAGUGAUUAAAAGAAGUAUUGUCGUAGACCUUGUCGUAGGAUUACUAGUAAGUAAUUGAGAUGAUGGGAGAGGUUAUCGAUGUUGUUGAGAAAGUUUCGAAGUGCGAGUAAUGCAAAGAGACGAAUAUGAUCUCAAGGAUAAGAAGGUUGAUGAUGGCGUACAUGAAUUUGGUUUCAGGAUGUUGCAGAAAUCGAACUUCAGCGAUGAAAUGUGUUGUUUAAGUUAUAAGAAGUUUGGAAGCGAAGAGAUGUGAUAAGAUGAUGUUAAUAAUGAGAUUAAUUUGAAAAGAAUGAGUUUUGGAGUGAAAUUUUCAUAAGCAAAUCGCAGGAAGAUUGCUGAAUCAUUAUGAAACUUCGAAAAUUCAUAACUGAAGUUCUGGACAUCCGAUUUGAGUUCCGUUUGAAGCGUCGGAAAGCUAACGAGAUGAACUUUGUUAUAAAAAUGGUUGCAGCAGCUGUAACAUAUUUAAUUGUGUUAGGAUGAUGUUAGAAAGAGGUGAAGUUACGGUUACACUUGUCCUUAGAACUAGAUUGUUCGUUGGUGCGGCAUGGGAUGUCAGUGUCAGAGUUAAACAGAAUAAAGGAAUAAUGAGGAGGCUUGUUGAGAAGCAAUCUUAGAGAUUAAAUGUGCCAAUUGAGAAGUUUUGGAGAUGUCGUAUAGAGUUUCGUUGCAUGGUAUCGGUAUUGUAUCUUGGGUAACGGUUGGAAACAUUAAUAUCUUGAACUUUGAGUAUCGGAUUAGGGUGUCGUUUGAGACUACGAAGAGGUGAGAUUAUGUUAUAACUUGUGGAAGAGUUAUAAAUACAGUAGAGUGGUCCUAUGAGGAGAUAUUAUGAUGUUGGAUAAAGAGGCCUAGACCAGUGUUGAAAAAGGAAUGCUUAUUACCGCGAUUGUUCGGAACGAAGUCGAGUAGAAUAUGUCCUUAAUAAAUAAGCGGAUAAAGAUGAUUUAAAUACUGAUGGAUUUGAGUGAUGAAGGAAUCAUUAGAAAAAGUGAAAUAGACUUUGGAACUAUUUGUGGUAUAUUGUGAUGCGUCGUUGAUGGGUUUGGAUGGUGUAUUGAUGUAAAAUCAGUAAGUAGUAACUUAUGCGUCAGGACGAUUGAAAGCGCAGGAAAGGAAUUAUCUGACUCAUGAUUUAGAAUUGGCAGCCAUGGUUUUGUUUUGAUGUUGCAGUGACAUUAUUUGUAUGGUUCGAGGUUGCCUCUAAAAAUGUCGAUGCUGAUGGUGAAAGAGUUGGAUUUAAUUGAACAAUUCAGAGAAUUAAGUUUGGUAUGUGAAGGUGCUCCUACUAAUGUUAGAUUGGGUAUACUGAAACUGACUAAUGGUAUUCCUGACGAGAUUAGAGGAAAUCAGAAAGCUGAUGUUGAGUUGAUCGAUAAGUCGACCUUGAAUUGCCAAGGUAAAGACGGUGAAUUCAGAAUUGACGAGGAUGGUGUAAUGAGGUCUAGAAGUCGCAGUUGUGUUCCAGAUGUUACCGAGCUGAAAAAGAAUAUUCUAGAAGAAGGACACCAUAGAGAAUUAUUAACCUAUGACAAUGUUAAUGAGUUUGGGUGCAAACUCGGAAAAGACGCUAUUAUGUAGUAACAACGGUUUAUGCUUAAAUAUGAUUGUCGGCUAUCUAUUGACAAAUUGAGGACUUGAUCACCCUUAAUCUCUUGUUGAUAAUAGGCGGAAUUAUAUAGAUGGUAUAAGAUUGCUUGUUACCUUAAUGGUAUAAGAUGUGAUGAAUGCUGAGAUGUGAGAAUGACCACUCACCAUAUUGUGGGAACUUAUGAGGAAGUGAUUAUGAAGGAGUGCAAAGUAUUGGACGGUGACUUAAGACGAGUAGUCGUAGUCGUACAGCGAAAGUAUGAUGUAAAGUGGUGUUAUGAGUGCUACUCGUGAGUAGUGAGAAUUAAUAUGUCGGGGUUCUACAUGGAGAAUAUGUGUUUAUCUAUAUGUUGGGUUUAGAAUCUCGUGGACGUAAGGAUGUCGUGCCAAAGGAUUAUGACCUUUUGAAUAAUUGCCGAGAUGAUGGAUAUCCUAUUACGGUUGUACGUAGUUAACGAGUAGGUAUUCGGAGAAGUUAAGAAGAAGAAUUGAUAUUACAUGAUGCUAUAAUAAUCUUGUGAUGUUGUAAGGUAUUGUGUGGAUUUCUAAUUGAAAUGAAGGAUUAUACUCUACGAAGGACGAAGUUGAUUUCAUUCUUAGUGAAGAGUGGGACUCUGUUGAGCUAUCUUGUAAGAAAUGGUAUAUUGAGGAUGAUGAGCUAUGUAAUUAUAACUACUGAUGUGCACUCAUUUCCAUAGUUGGAAUGUUUAAUAGAUGAAGUAAAUCAGGAAUUUGUUUUUGAGUGCGAGUAAGUAUUGACGAGUGGUGAGUUAGAACCAUGGAUGGUAAAGAAUGAUUCUUGAACGAAUGAGUAAAGAGGGCCAGAGUUGGGUAUAACCUAGAAGUCUAAUUGAUAAUGAUGAUUGCAAUGAGUAAUCAGGAUAGUGCAGCAAAAGCAGAAUGUAGCGUGUUGGGUAAUUCUGGUGUGACCUAAGAGGAGCCAGACAAUGGAAUUCAAUGGUAUAGGAAUAUGAGUAUUGAGUUCUUGAAGGAAGCAGUUGGUAAAGGGUGUAAGUAUUACUUUAUCGCUCAAUUGGAAGAGUGUGCCUAAGGUUAGUACAUGGGUAAAUGGAAUCCAUUACUACGGCGUUGAUCAGUUGUGAUCAUACCAUGGAUUGUGUAAUUGUAUUAUUCAGUUAUUGAGUGUAUUGUAUGGAUCACACCUCGAAGUUUCAUUGUUGUUAGCCGUUGGAAUUAUAGCAAGUGGUACACCUGGGGAUGGUCAAAUGCAACGUAAGAACUGAAUUGAAUGCAUGAGAUAUGCUUGUGUUGGUUAUGUCAGAUGAAUUUUGAGACUCGACCAAGAAGGUGUUAACGGAGAACGGGAGAGUCAAAUGAAGCACUCUUAUCUGGGACUUUUACUUGAAGUAUGUUUUCGAGGACGAAAACUCUUUUAGUGGGGGAGAGUUGUAACACCCCAUAAUUUCAGUUUAUUAAUUUAAUUUGGAUUUAAAUUAAAUAAUUGGAAUUUUAGUAUUUUUAUUUGGAAUUAUUUGGAAAAUGAUGAAAUAUUGACAUUUGGGCCUAGAGUGGUGAUUAGCAGAAGAGGGGGUGUUGACUAAGCAAGCCCAUUAUAAUAUUUAUUUUAUUUUUCGUAAAAUAAGGAAUUUGGGGAAAAGAGGAAGCAGAAGCAGGAACUGAGUCUGAAGAAAGGAGAACACGUGAAAGUGAGAAGAGCCAAAGGGGAAGAGAACCUUCGAAGUUCGACUCUGAGAUUAAGGAUGUAGCGGCGUCUUGAUUGGGUGAAGAUAGCUUAUAGGCUAGCCCUUAGUUCGUGUCGAGUCAUGCUCUGAUUGUAACACUGGGGAACGCUAGUUUAGAGACGAAUUAUUAUGUCGGUCUUGUUGUUUUAUGAUUGUUUUAGAAUAACUUGCAUGGAUAAUGAAUAUGCAAUGUUAUGGAUUAUUGUCCGCUGUGUUGAACAUGAAUUGUAAUUAUGUUAAAUGGUUCCUCGUGUAGCAUGACAAAUGACUAUGGUAUUUUAUGUUUAAGAAGUUGUGACA